GGGGUUGUAGCUCAGCGGUAGAGUUCUCACCUAGCAUGUGUGAGGCCCUGGGUUCAAUCCUCAGCACCA
rnacentral:tRNA from 1 species